CAGCGCCACGAGUGGGAACUACAAUUAUUGGGCCUAAAGCGUCCGUAGCCGGUUUAGUAAAUUUCUUGUGAAAUUGUUGAGCUUAACUUAACAACGUGCAGGAAAGACUGCUAAACUUGGGACUGGGAGGAGUUAGAAGUAUUUUUGGGGUAGCGGUAAAAUGUUAUAAUCCCAACGAGACUACCUAUGGCGAAAGCAUCUAACUAGAACAGGUCCGACGGUGAGGGACGAAAGCUAGGGGAGCAAAACGGAUUAGAGACCCGAGUAGUCC
rnacentral:rRNA from 1 species